AUUGAACGCUGGCGGCAGGCCUAACACAUGCAAGUCGAACGAGUGGCGGACGGGUGAGUAAUGUCUGGGAAACUGCCUGAUGGAGGGGGGUAACUACUGGAAACGGUAGCUAAUACCGCAUACCAUCAGAUGUGCGCAGAUGGGAUUAGCUUGUUGGUGGGGUAACGGCUCACCAAGGCGACGAUCCCUAGCUGGUCUGAGAGGAUGACCAGCCACCCUGGAACGGAGACGCGGUCCAGACUCCAACGCGAGGCAGCGGUGGGGAAGAGGGCACAAUGGGCGCAGGCCUGAUGCGGCCAUGCCGCGUGUAUGAAGAAGGCCUUCGGGUUGUGAAGUACUUUCAGCGGGGAGGAGUUACCCGAAGAAGAAGCACCGGCUAACUCCGUGCCAGCAGCCGCGGUAAUAC
rnacentral:rRNA from 1 species